GGCAGAUAAGUGCGGUGGAUUUAAGCUCCACGAAUAAAGUUUUAAACUUUCA
rnacentral:tRNA from 1 species